UACGUAGGGUGCGAGCGUUUGUCCGGAUUUAUUGGGCGUAAAGAGCUCGUAGGUGGUUCGGUUAGUCGGAUGUGAAAUCUCCAGGCUCAACCUGGAGGGGUCAUUCGAUACUGCCGUGACUAGAGUCCGGAAGAGGAGUGUGGAAUUCCUGGUGUAGCGGUGAAAUGCGCAGAUAUCAGGAAGAACACCUAUGGCGAAGGCAGCACUCUGGGACGGUACUGACGCUGAGACGCGAAAGCGUGGGGAGCAAACAGG
rnacentral:rRNA from 1 species